rnacentral:siRNA from 1 species
CGACUGUGUUCUGUUGUCGUCGCA